rnacentral:rRNA from 1 species
UACGAGAGCCUCGAGCGUUAUCCGGAAUUAUUGGGCGUAAAGGGUACGUAGGUUGUUUUGUUAGUCUUUUGUUAAAACCCCGGGCUUAACCUGGGGACUGCGGAGGAAACGGCAAGACUAGAAAGUGCGAGAGGUGAAUGGAACUCAUGGUGUAGGGGUGAAAUCCGUUGAUAUCAUGGGGAACACCAAAUGCGAAGGCAAUUCACUGGCGCAUAUUUGACACUCAAGUACGAAAGCGUGGGUAGCGAAUGGG